UACGUAGGUGGCAAGCGUUGUUCGGAAUUAUUGGGCGUAAAGGGCGCGUAGGCGGCAUGUUAAGUCGGCUGUGAAAGCCCGGGGCUCAACCCCGGAGGGUCGGCCGAUACUGGCAAGCUAGAGUACAGAAGAGGUAGCUGGAAUUCCCGGUGUAGCGGUGAAAUGCGUAGAUAUCAGGAGGAACACCGAUUGCGAAGGCAGCUCGCUGGGACGUUACUGACGCUGAGACGCGAAAGCGUGGGGAGCAAACAGG
rnacentral:rRNA from 1 species